GUGGGUCAAUAAUCUGAUCAAGGGAUCCUCCAUGAUAAUAUUUUUGGAAAAAAAAUAUCAAAUUAUACCUCAAAUUAAAAAAGGAUUCAGUGUCCCUGUGGAUUCAUUAUUUCUGAAAACACAGUUUUUUAUUUCACUUUAUAUCAGUACCAUAGUUGCUCGUACUGCUUUCACCAGUACUGGCUGUGCUCCUUGAACAUGAAGUUGGUCCACAUAAAAGUGUAAAUUGCUCAUCAUCACCAGUGUUAAUCAAUUUCUG
rnacentral:misc_RNA from 1 species